rnacentral:rRNA from 1 species
CCUACGGGGGGCAGCAGUGGGGAAUAUUGCGCAAUGGGCGAAAGCCUGACGCAGCGACGCCGCGUGAGGGAUGAAGGUCUUCGGAUCGUAAACCUCUGUCAGCAGGGAAGAACGGUCACUGUGCUAAUCAGCAGUGAAUUGACGGUACCUGCAAAGGAAGCACCGGCUAACUCCGUGCCAGCAGCCGCGGUAAUACGGAGGGUGUGAGCGUUAAUUGGAUUUACUGGGCGUAAAGCGCUCGUAGGCGGUAUGUCAAGUCAAGUGUGAAAUCCCGGCGCUCAACGUGGGAACUGCCUUUGAAACUGGCAGACUGGAGUGUGUGAGAGGAUAGUGGAAUUCCAGGUGUAGGAGUGAAAUCCGUAGAUAUCUGGAGGAACAUCAGUUGCGAAGGCGACUAUCUGGCACAUAACUGACGCUGAGGAGCGAAAGCGUGGGUAGCAAACAGGAUUAGAUACCCCAGUAGUC